GGUAGGGGAGCGUUCUGUAAGCCUGUGAAGGUGUGCUGUGAGGCAUGCUGGAGGUAUCAGAAGUGCGAAUGCUGACAUAAGUAACGAUAAAGCGGGUGAAAAGCCCGCUCGCCGGAAGACCAAGGGUUCCUGUCCAACGUUAAUCGGGGCAGGGUGAGUCGACCCCUAAGGCGAGGCCGAAAGGCGUAGUCGAUGGGAAACAGGUUAAUAUUCCUGUACUUGGUGUUACUGCGAAGGGGGGACGGAGAAGGCUAUGUUGGCCGGGCGACGGUUGUCCCGGUUUAAGCGUGUAGGCUGGUUUUCCAGGCAAAUCCGGAAAAUCAAGGCUGAGGCGUGAUGACGAGGCACUACGGUGCUGAAGCAACAAAUGCCCUGCUUCCAGGAAAAGCCUCUAAGCAUCAGGUAACAUCAAAUCGUACCCCAAACCGACACAGGUGGUCAGGUAGAGAAUACCAAGGCGCUUGAGAGAACUCGGGUGAAGGAACUAGGCAAAAUGGUGCCGUAACUUCGGGAGAAGGCACGCUGAUAUGUAGGUGAAGCGACUUGCUCGUGGAGCUGAAAUCAGUCGAAGAUACCAGCUGGCUGCAACUGUUUAUUAAAAACACAGCACUGUGCAAACACGAAAGUGGACGUAUACGGUGUGACGCCUGCCCGGUGCCGGAAGGUUAAUUGAUGGGGUCAGCGCAAGCGAAGCUCUUGAUCGAAGCCCCGGUAAACGGCGGCCGUAACUAUAACGGUCCUAAGGUAGCGAAAUUCCUUGUCGGGUAAGUUCCGACCUGCACGAAUGGCGUAAUGAUGGCCAGGCUGUCUCCACCCGAGACUCAGUGAAAUUGAACUCGCUGUGAAGAUGCAGUGUACCCGCGGCAAGACGGAAAGACCCCGUGAACCUUUACUAUAGCUUGACACUGAACAUUGAGCCUUGAUGUGUAGGAUAGGUGGGAGGCUUUGAAGUGUGGACGCCAGUCUGCAUGGAGCCGGCCUUGAAAUACCACCCUUUAAUGUUUGAUGUUCUAACGUGGACCCGUAAUCCGGGUUGCGGACAGUGUCUGGUGGGUAGUUUGACUGGGGCGGUCUCCUCCUAAAGAGUAACGGAGGAGCACGAAGGUUGGCUAAUCCUGGUCGGACAUCAGGAGGUUAGUGCAAUGGCAUAAGCCAGCUUGACUGCGAGCGUGACGGCGCGAGCAGGUGCGAAAGCAGGUCAUAGUGAUCCGGUGGUUCUGAAUGGAAGGGCCAUCGCUCAACGGAUAAAAGGUACUCCGGGGAUAACAGGCUGAUACCGCCCAAGAGUUCAUAUCGACGGCGGUGUUUGGCACCUCGAUGUCGGCUCAUCACAUCCUGGGGCUGAAGUAGGUCCCAAGGGUAUGGCUGUUCGCCAUUUAAAGUGGUACGCGAGCUGGGUUUAGAACGUCGUGAGACAGUUCGGUCCCUAUCUGCCGUGGGCGCUGGAGAACUGAGGGGGGCUGCUCCUAGUACGAGAGGACCGGAGUGGACGCAUCACUGGUGUUCGGGUUGUCAUGCCAAUGGCACUGCCCGGUAGCUAAAUGCGGAAGAGAUAAGUGCUGAAAGCAUCUAAGCACGAAACUUGCCCCGAGAUGAGUUCUCCCUGACUCCUUGAGAGUCCUGAAGGAACGUUGAAGACGACGACGUUGAUAGGCCGGGUGUGUAAGCGCAGCGAUGCGUUGAGCUAACCGGUACUAAUGAACCGUGAGGCUUAACCUUACAACGCCGAAG
rnacentral:rRNA from 1 species